rnacentral:rRNA from 1 species
GAUAGCCUACGGGGGGCAGCAGUGGGGAAUAUUGCACAAUGGGGGAGACCCUGAUGCAGCGACGCCGCGUGCGGGAUGGAGGCCUUCGGGUUGUAAACCGCUUUUGUUCAAGGGCAAGGCACGGUCUUUGGCCGCGUUGAGUGGAUUGUUCGAAUAAGCACCGGCUAACUACGUGCCAGCAGCCGCGGUAAUACGUAGGGUGCAAGCGUUAUCCGGAUUUAUUGGGCGUAAAGGGCUCGUAGGCGGUUCGUCGCGUCCGGUGUGAAAGUCCAUCGCUUACCGGUGGAUCCGCGCCGGGUACGGGG